rnacentral:rRNA from 1 species
UGAAGUUAGCAAAGGGAAAGUUCAGUCGUACCAGCGGGAAAUCAACCUUUCGAGUGGGGUUUUGGAGUUUUGAAGAGUGUCAAAACCUUUGAGAUUUCAAAAUGCUCGCUCCUUUGGUGUACUUUCUCGUAGGUAGGUUAACAUCGAUUUCGAUUCAUCAUAAAAGGAUUGGAGGAAUGUAGCUUCGAUCUUGUAUUGAAGUGUUAUAGCCUUUGGUAAAUGUGAUGAUUGGGGUCGAGGAUUGCAACGAAUACCCUUCUGGGCUAUCCGCCUGAUCUCUGAUACGUGGCCUUGGCAUCGAAAGCUUGCUUAUGAUGUUAGGGUAUUACGGUCAAAAGGUUAGAACGAAUUACA